rnacentral:lncRNA from 1 species
CAGGGUAAUUGGCUGUUCUCCAGCAUAAGAAUGCAAGUUAUUCAUGAGCUUUGUGAGCUUGCUUCUGACUAACACAGACUGUUUUCACUAGGGAGCACAGGGACAAAAAGAGUUGUGAAGUUUUGAGUCUUCAGGAUUAUUCCUUUCAAGUAUGUGAUAACCUGUGAUUCUUCUCCCCAACUAUUUUCUAACCGUCCCCGACCUUUUCCACUUCCUUUCAUUUCGUAGUGACUACCAGAAAUUUACCAAGGAAGCUGCCAUGAAAUAACAUGUUUCUUUUAGAAAUACAACUGACUCAAUAGACAGCUAUGGAUGUGCUGUUAUUUUGGAGAUACAAGAGAAGAAUCAGUAGAGCUACAUUUUCUUGGCACUCCAAAAUGUGGAUUUCAAAACUGUUAGUUCAGAAGUGUUCAACUUUUGCUGCCCACUGGAAUUAUCUGGAGAGCUGCAAAAGGACACUGAUGCCUGGGCUGCACCUCCUAGAGGUCUUGAUUUGAUCAAUCCAAAGGAAGGCCUGGGCAGUAAAUUUUUAAAAGUUCCACAGCAUUUCUGAUGGCCUCACGGAUCAGGAGUCUGCAAGACCACCCUCAGGCUUCAUGCACUAAAAGGACUCACAGGACUCAGAAAAAGCUGUCAUACUCAUGUUUGUGGUUUAUUAGAGUGAAAGACUACAGAUUAGAGUCAGCAAAAGGAAAAGGUGGGUAGGGCAGAGUCUAGGAGAAACAGGACACAAGCUUCCAGUUGGCUUCUCCCAAAGGUGUUGCAUGAACAGCACUUAAUUAUCUUAGCAACAAUGUAACACACAUGUAAAUUUUUGCAUCCUAUGAAUCUCAUCUGAGCCUUGGUGUCCAAGGAUUUUUAUUGGGGUUAGUGACAAAGGCAUGCAGCGGCUAUGGGACAACAUUAACUACUCAGUCUCCAGCCCCCAGAGGUCAGUGUGGUUCAACAACUGAUGCAGUGCGGUUCAACAACUUAGACGACAAAAACACUCCUGGCAGGCAGGAGAUUUCAAGAGAGCUCAGAGGUCACCUCCUGGAUGUCAGCCAAGGACCAGUCCUUUUUUUUUUGAAUGUGCAGGGUUUGAGUAACCCAAGACUGCUGUGUUAACCUUUUUCUGGACACCUAUAUACAUAUAUUUGUCUGUUCUUUGGAUUCUCCAUUGAACUGGGUAUUGCUGUUACUGUUUUUGCCUUCCUAGUUCCUCAUUAAUGGGCUAAAAUAAAUCUUUGACACGU